GCCGCGGCCAGCGACUCUGAGCCAAUCACAAAGCUCAGACCGAGUGACGCACAUACGUCAAGUACUCGCAGGCCUACGUGACGCGCGAGCGGAGAAUCAACUGAUGCUGCUGUGUAAAUGAACUCUUUACGUGAUUUUCCAAGAUUUCCGCGCCGCGAAAUGUAUGAAGAAAUGUCAGUAGAAAGAAACUGGACGGACACCGAGACGAGGGCGCUGCUGUACAUCCGACAGGACGAAGAAAUCAGUAGGCAAAUCAGCGGAACGGUUCGCGACUCUCUUAUUUACGCUGAAAUAUCAAGGCUGCUGCGGACGCAAGGGAUCCACAGAACCAAGCGACAGGUCACCACCAAACUGAAAACACUCAAGCAGAAGUUCCUUAAAAUACACGAGCAUCACAAAAACAACGGCCACGGCAGAGUGUACUGGAAUUACUAUGAUCUCUGCAAGUCCAUCUGGGGCAGCAACCGCUCCACAGACGCUUUAACAGUUCAUAAUAACGUCAAACUCGAAGAGCCUCAGAGUACAUCCAUCGAGGACGCGAGAAACGAGAGCAGAUCCACAGACAUCGAGGUGUCAGUCGGUCAUGAAGAGGAGACGGAUGACAUGACAGACGUUGUUGCUCAACCUGUGAGGAAGAAGGCCAAAAAACAUUCCAUUAGCGACUCUGUGAGAGAUCAAGAACCUCUCCAUGUGCAAAACCAGAGGGAGUAUGAGGAACACUUGCGAAGGGAAGCCAGAGAAGAGCAGAAGGAGGAACGAGCGAGUCUUAUGGCCAUGUGGAAGGAGAUGAUGGAGUUUCAAGGGAACCUCUUGAAGGAGUUUAUUCAGCGCCCAUCUCUGCCUUCACUUCCAUCUUACCACAGACAUGCUCUUCACAACCAAGGACGCUCAAGUUUUCCAAGCACUAGCUACAUGGCACCGUACGACUCGCCAGGAACUGAAACUGAGAAUGAAAGUGCAAUCUCACACGAGGAAGAGGAGGAGGAGAAAUAUGUUAUUCCAGCUGAGACUGCACCCGUGUUGGACGUUCAGCCUGUUAACCGUGCAAACGACAGCCAAUCAAACACAGCAGAGACUGAUUCAGCAGGAAAGAGCGAUCUGGAGAUGUCUGUGCUACGCAGACAGGAAAUAGUCUUACAGCUUCAGGAAGAAUACUACUCACUCAAAAUCAAGUAUCUGAAACACAAGAUGGCCAAGGAUCCAUGACAGAACGCUAAAGAGGAGUGUUAACUGUUCUGCUCUUUCAAGCUGUGAAAACUUGCUUUGCGAAUGUAGAUGUUCUCAGCUGGACUGUGGAAAAUAUCAAUGUGUAGUUGUCUGUGCACCUCAUAUCCCUUGUAGUUCAUAUUACAUAUUUUGACCAGUAGAUGGCAAGGUGGUUACUUCAUAUUUUUCCUGGUGUCUAUAGACAUGUCCAAGAGAAAUCAACAGGUAGGUCUAGGUUUUUCUUUAAAUAUGCGAAUAUUUAUAAGCAUUUGCUCAUUUUCAUGGCAGUUUACCAGCAGUUAUUGGUUUUUGGGACAUUAUUUUGCAAAAUUCUCCCCAUUUUCUCCACUAAACGUUACUGGGCUUAUUAUAAAUGAUUCAUUGGUUUGUUAUGUAACACCCACUUUCACAAUCAAUUCCUGAUGGAUAACAGUCUUGCUCUACCUUUAAUUUUUUUCCAUUUAAGGUUCUGUUUUGCACAUUACAGCAGUAAAAUGUGUUGCAAAUACAUUUUAAUGUUGACUAUAGGAAGUAACGUGAGCUGGACAUUACUCUCCUAAUGUGGAGUAUGUCUGUUACCAUUAUUUUUCAUUAAAUGAAUGAAAGCCAUUGAGUCCGAUACAUAGUAUUUAAAAAACUAAAUCAAAAGCAAAAGUCUUGGUCGCACUUUAUUUUAAUGUCCAAUUCUCACCAUUAACUACGACUGUUGCCUCAAUAAACUCCUAAUUUGCUGCUUAUUAUUAGUUAUUAAGGUAGUUAAGUUUAGGUAUUGAUUAGGGAUGUAGAAUAUGGUCGUGCAGAAUAUGUGCUUUAUAAAUAUAAAUAAACAGCCAACAUGUUAAUAAUAAGCAUGCUAAUGAGCACUAGUUAAUAGUGAGAAUUGGUCCCUGUACAAAAGUGUUACUAAAAUCUUUUUUAAAGAAUUGUUUAAAAGCAGGGAUUCCUAGCCUAGUUUUGUUAGUAAAAUCCCUUUAAACUAAACUAUUUUCUUGAGAUUUAAAUUUAUUUGAUAAAUAUUUCAGUUAAUAUUUCAAAACAUUUGCA
ensembl:lncRNA uncharacterized LOC107666118